GCUGUGGCUCAGGGGUAGAACACCUGCCUUUGCCUAGAAGAGGGCCCAGGUUCAAUCCCUGGUAUCUCCA